AUGAGUUAUUUAUGGAAUAGUUAUGAAUGCUGGAGAAAAAAAGGAUUGAAUAAAUUGAAAUUAAUAGAAUUAUUAUGGUUGCACAAAUUUCAGACUAACAACUUGAUAGAGAAACUUAAAAAAUACGUGAACAUAUCUGAAGUGAAUAUCGGAAAUCAGCCUGAGGAGACAGUAAAAGAAGAUAUAACAACAGGGCAAUUAUUGGCCGCAGAGGAUAUCAGUUUAGAUAUCACAAUUAAAAAAGAACAAGUAGAAGAAUUAGUAGAAGAGGAGAUCAGCAGGGGCAAACCUGCAGUGGGAAAAGCUCCAAUGCAGUUUUCCUGGUUUUGGUAAGAGAUGUGCAUUUUAUAAAUGGAUAACAAAAUUCUUAACAGACAAAAUGAUUUAUUUCUGCUGGAUUUUACCCCAAUUGUCUACCAUUUUGCUGUGUUUUUCCUUUAUAUAAAAGAACCUCAUUAUUUCUAUAUGGUUUCUCAGUGGUUCACAUCUUCCUCAAAUGGACUCUGGCAUAGAGGUAUCCAACUCACAGCCUAUAGUGGCCCCAAGAGAUCCAUUUCUUUUUGAGUUUGAUAACACCAACAUAGAGGAAAAAAUAUAGGACAUAGAGUGUAUCUAGGGUCAAAUUGGAGCUUUGUCACUUCAACUUGUGUGAUUGAGGUUAUGUGAUUUCUGAUCAAUACGUUUGAGAUUUCUCAUCUAUAUAAAAUGAGGGGAUGGCACAAGUUGACAUCCAGUGUUACUUCCAAAUCUACAUCAGGGAAACGUCAACUCCUUACAAGACAAAUCAUGUAUUAGUUGUGUUUAAUAUAGAGGAGGAAGCGGUAGAGAGAGAUGAUACCAUGCCACAUGCACAAAACUUUUAACUUAAUUGACUUCCAUUUCUUGUUUGUUUCUUUUUUUUAACAUAAAAGUCAGGUUAGGUUAUACCUAUUCUCUUCGAUAUAUGCCAACAUAGACAUGUGCCGCAUAAAAAACCAAAGUUCCUUUAACAUAUGGCUUUAUCUUUCUCAUGGAAUUGAAAUUCAUGAAUUUUUAUAGUGUGUUUCUCUUUAGGUAACUUUUUGCAUCAUAAUAGAAUAUAUUUUAUGCUUUAAUUAUUUCCCUCUCAAAUCUUGGAUGAUUCUAGCAAUGUCCAAGGAUACAAUUGGAGGAACUUCUUUUGUUUUAAAAAACAUGAUAAACAAGUAAAAAUGUGCACAAGCAGGAAGAAACUGACCAAAAGGUAAAUUUUCUUUAUGUGAAAUUUGUCAUAAAGAUUUAUGUGCAUUUCUCCAUUUUAAUUACUAGGUAAUAAGCUUGUAAAACAAUCUCUAAGACCCUUUAGCAGUUUUCACUAUCAAUGGUUAUAUUAACAUAGGCCAAUCUAAGCUUUUAAAUAUUGUCUCUCUUGAUCUCUAGCUAUUUGAUGACGCCUCUGCUUCUUUUAUACCCCAAAGCUGCUGGUGUCUGACUGGAUAGAAACUAAAGUUGGCCAUUGAUUAAAGAGUAUUGGAAUGAAAAAAUAUAUCCUGAAAUUUGAUUAUAAAAGAGUAAGAGGUGAAGAACUUCUUGAAUUAGACAAUGACACAUUAAAAGUAAGCUUCAGAAUAGGCUUUUUAUAUAUGCUAUAUAACCUUUUUUAUGGUGGACAUUGGAUGAAAAACAGUACAAAUAAUGGGAUUCCUAUAUAUGGCCCAUUUGACAACCUUAUGGUUUUAAGGAAAACAUGUUAACUACCUUUUUGAAUGUAGUUUCAAGAAAUGUUUUUUUUAAUGUGAUUUGCUCCCCCUUUUUUUAGCAUUCCUGCCAUAUGGUCACUCCUUUUUAUUUAUAUUUAUUUAUUGAAACCUUAUAUCUUCCAUUUUAGAAUAUAUAACAUGUAUGUUUCCGAGGAAAAAAAGUUUUAAGAGGUGGGCAAUGUGAGGCAAGUGACUGUCUCAGCAUCAUACUUCUAGGGGGUCACAUUUGAAACCAGGUCCUCUUUUCUCUAGGUCUGGUUCUCAAUCUAUUGAGCCACCAUUCUUUUUUUUUCUUUUUUUAGAAUUCUAUCUAUUAACAAACACUGGAAAACAGAAAAGCCAUAUUUUAAUUUUUGACCAGGCAGAUUAACUUCAUUGAAACAGAUUAAAAAAACAGUAAUCAUGGGAAAUGGCAAGCUUUCAUUUCAUUUAUAGUAAAUGAAAUAUCAAUAUUUUAACUUAUCUCUGAAAGUACCAAAUAAAUUAUUUCAAAAAGAUCA
rnacentral:lncRNA from 1 species